UGUCAAAAUUUUAUAAUAUUUUCCAAAAUAAAAGAAGAGAAGCCUAACUCAAGGGCCAUUUGUAAACCGAAAAUAGCUGCUUCUGCUUCCGCUUGGUUAACUCUCAACAACAGUUGCACAAGCUUGCAACCAGACGCCAUCACACUACCUUGCGAGUCUCUAAUCACAGAGCCAAGCCCACAACCUUGAGAAGACCCAAAAGAGGUUGGGAGCUCGCCAAAGAGACCACGCGACCAUGGAAAAGAUGUGAAGUUGUUCCUGACAGAGACGUUGCGAUAGCUCCUAAAACCAGUCAAAGAAAGGCACCUGCAGAUAUUGAUCCACUCGAAUUCGCAAUGGACAUUAUAGCCAAACAAAUCUGUCCUUCAUACAAUCCUUAAGCACAUGAGUGACAUCCUCAAGCCCUUCUCCACACAUAACAUAGACAGGAUCAAAAUCCAGCCCCCGUUUGUUAAGUUCUCUUACAACGGGUAACCGGAUUAUAUAAGCACGGAAGAGAAAAUGUUUUACCUUACCCUGCUUCCAAAUAACAAGGAGGUACCCACUCCGAAUUGAAUACUGUCCAUCCUUUGUUUCAUUCCAAAUAACAAUAUUAGCAGGACGAGAUAAA